GUGACAGAGCAAACAAACAAAAAACAAAUACUUAUCAUUGUGUAAAAAUUGCCUACAGUAUUCAGUAUAGUAACAUGAUAUACAGGUUUGUAGCCUAGGAGAAAUAGGCCGUACGAUAGAGCCUAAGUGUGUAGUAUGCUAUAUCAUCUAGGUUUAUGUAAGUACAUUCUAUGAUAUUUGUACAACGAAAAAACUGCCUGAAGACACAUUUCUCAGUGUAUCCCCAUUGUUAAGUGAUGCAAGAAAUAUUUGGAAGAGUGAACCCUAAAGUAAACACGGAAGUUGGGUGGUAAUGAUAGUUUCAAUAAUGAUGUCAAUAUAGUUUCAUCAGUUGUAAUGAAUGUACCACUCUGGGCAGGAUGUCACUGUGGCGGGGGUGUGGGGGCAUUGUGUAUGUAGGAGAGCAGGAGUGCAUGAGAACCCUGCACUUUCUACUCAACUUUGCUGUGAACCUAAAACUGCUCUAAAAAGUAAAGUUGAUUAAUUUCAAAAAAAUAUUGGAGGAUACACACAAAAUUGUUAACAGUGGUUGCUUCAUCAAAGGGGAGUGGGAUUGAGGGAAAUAAAUAUUUCUAUGCAAAAAUGCUAUAUUUUUUAAUACUUACUUCAACAAUGUAAUUCUAUUUUAUUUAAAAAUACAUUAAAAUGUAGACAUAUAAAGAAUUCUGAAGAUGCACUCUAAAUUAUUGGUAGUGGUUACUUUUGGAAAGCAUGAUUGGAUGUAGGGAGUGAGGCACUACUCAUUUUAUUUUAGUCCUGCACAGAUAUAAUUUGUUAUGACUUUUGUUUCUUCUGUAAUUAAAUCAAAGAGAUAGAGGUUCAGAAGAAUACUAGCCCAACAUGGUUCAAAAACUAGCCUGGACCCAGGAUUAACUACACAAUUUGCAGGAACCAGUGAAAUUUGCCAAAUGAAAAUGGGGGGAGGCGGCCCUUGUUAACAAAUUAUCAAGAACUUCAAGAUAGUGACAGCAUAAUAUCAAAACACACAGGGCCUUUCUAAAUGCUGGGCUCCAAGAAGCCAGACUUGCCCAGGCCUGAGCACUACUGGGUUCCUCCCUUAGCACCGCAACUUGACACUGACUAUUCCGAAAGUUUUCACACU
rnacentral:lncRNA from 1 species